AGAAUUUGAUCUUGAUUCAGGAUGAACGCUGGCGGCGUGCUUAACACAUGCAAGUCGAACGGAACUUUUACGGAAGGAGACUUCGGUCAACGGAAAUUUAAGUUUAGUGGCGGACGGGUGAGUAACGCGUGAGUAACCUGCCUUUCAGAGGGGGAUAACGUUUGGAAACGAACGCUAAUACCGCAUAAAACAGCAGUAUCGCAUGGUACAACUGUCAAAGAUUUUUAUCGCUGAAAGAUGGACUCGCGUCCGAUUAGGCAGUUGGCGGGGUAACGGCCCACCAAACCGACGAUCGGUAGCCGGACUGAGAGGUUGAACGGCCACAUUGGGACUGAGACACGGCCCAGACUCCUACGGGAGGCAGCAGUGGGGAAUAUUGCACAAUGGGCGCAAGCCUGAUGCAGCAACGCCGCGUGAGGGAAGACGGUUUUCGGAUUGUAAACCUCUGUUCUUAGUGACGAAGAAGUGACGGUAGCUAAGGAGCAAGCCACGGCUAACUACGUGCCAGCAGCCGC
rnacentral:rRNA from 1 species